GACGAACGCUGGCGGCGUGCUUAACACAUGCAAGUCGAACGUGAUUUUUGUGGAAAGCCCUUCGGGGACGGAAAUGAAAUGAAAGUGGCGAACGGGUGAGUAACACGUGAGCAACCUACCUUACACAGGGGGAUAGCCGUUGGAAACGACGAUUAAUACCGCAUGAGACCACAAAGCCACAUGGCUUAGGGGUAAAAGAUUUAUCGGUGUAAGAUGGGCUCGCGUCUGAUUAGCUAGUUGGAAGGGUAAAGGCCUACCAAGGCGACGAUCAGUAGCCGGUCUGAGAGGAUGAACGGCCACAUUGGAACUGAGACACGGUCCAAACUCCUACGGGAGGCA
rnacentral:rRNA from 1 species